CAAGGUGUGCGGUAAGGCACCGGUUUUUGAUACCGGCAUUCCCUGGUUCGAAUCCAGGUACCCCAGCCA
rnacentral:tRNA from 1 species